CUCUGCCUGCCUCUGUCCAGUCUAUGAUCCACUAAUGCAGCAGUCUGGGUGGAUUUCUCUGUUUUUAUUCGCACAGGACCAGUGUUACUUGAGGACCUGGUGUGAUUUAGAUAUUACCCCCGUAGGUCUGUGUCUCAUGUGGCGGUUUUACGCGGGAGAAGUCUCUCUUUCACUCAAAUUGCCUGACUUUAUCCCAAAUAUAUGAACUCUGUGAGCGGUUUGGGGGCAUUUCCCUCACUGGCGCCUCAUUUUCACCGCAAUAUAAAAUCCUGCAGGUCGAUAGAAACAGAACAAGCAUGAAGAAGGAGACAGAACUCAGAAAUGUCUUCUGUGUACUGAUAAAAAAGUCAGAAUGAUAUAAAUCUUCAAAGUGAAAAAACAGACAACAGGUCACAAUAAAAGGUCAUUAGAUCGCAGUAAAAGGUCAGUAGAUCACAGUAAAAGGUCAUUAGAUCGCAGUAAAAGGUCAGUAGAUCACAGUAAAAGGUCAGUAGAUCACAGUAAAAGGUAAGUAGAUCACAAUUAAAGGUCAGUAGAUCACAGUAAAAGGUCAUUAGAUCACAGUAAAAGGUCAGUAGAUCACAGUAAAAGGUCAGUAGAUCACAGUAAAAGGUCAGUAGAUCACAGUAAAAGGUAAGUAGAUCACAAUUAAAGGUCAGUAGAGCACAGUAAAAGGUCAUUAAUAUUAGAUCGCAGUAAAAGGUCAGUAGAUCGCCGUAAAAGUUCAGUAGAUCGCAGUAAAAGGUCAGUAGAUCCCAGUAAAAGGUCAGUAGAUCACAAUAAAAGGUCAGUAGAUCCCAGUAAAAGGUCAGUAGAUCGCAGUAAAAGGUCAGUAGAUCCCAGUAAAAGGUCAGUAGAUCACAGUAAAAGGUCAUUAGAUCCCAGUAAAAGGUCAUUAGAUCCCAGUAAAAGGUCAGUAGAUCGCAGUAAAAGGUCAGUAGAUCGCAGUAAAAGGUCAUUAGAUCCCAGUAAAAGGUCAGUAGAUCACAGUAAAAGGUCAGUAGAUCCCAGUAAAAGGUCAGUAGAUCCCAGUAAAAGGUCAGUAGAUCCCAGUAAAAGGUCAUUAGAUCCCAGUAAAAGGUCAUUAGAUCCCAGUAAAAGGUCAGUCGAUCACAGUAAAAGGUCAGUAGAUCACAGUAAAAGGUCAGUAGAUCACAAUAAGAGGACAUUACAAAGUGUACACAAAGAAGUUAUAGGUCAAUGGUCACAGGAUUGGUUCACUUUCAGCCACUGUUUAAGGUGAGAUAUUAAACUUGAUAUGCUCAUGA